UGCGGGCGUUGUCUGACAGUUACCAUGAUAUCUUCUUUAUAUGCUGGUCUCGGUUCAUAUAAAGCGAGCAGCCAGAGGUUGUGGCUUUCUUGGUCACAUAAAGCCAUUCGCGAUAUUACAGAAAUGACAGUUUAAUAUACCUACGUGUAGUCAGAUGAGCCGAAACCGUUUGAUCGAGACUGUUCUGCAAAUUGACUAAUCGGAAUUCUUUAUUUGAGGAAAUCUCUCUCAUGUUAUGUUAGGAUUUGUCGCCUGCUCAAUAUACGCUCUCACAUAACGCAGGGCAGUGCAGGAGUAAUCAUGUACUCGUCCCUUGGUGAUGAACAAAUGAUGGUUAUCCAAUCCUUAAACUUUUCGGACCAGACAACUUUCGAAAAUCUGGCGUUAUCCGGGAACUUUACAGAACCAACAACAGAAACAUGGCUGACUGCCACCAUCAGUGCGUUCAUCGUUGCCUUGGGGUUUUUCGCGAGGUAUUCUUGGAUGGUGACCGGUAUAAUAGGAAUUCCCGGGAACAUCUUAACACUUAUUAUCUCCCUUCAAAAGAAGAAUCGGACCAUCUCGACUUGUUGUUACAUGGCGGCGGUGGCGGUGGGAGACACCUUAAUGCUGCUGCAGAUGAUGUGGGUGCACUCCGUCAUCUAUUGGUGGGGCGGAGAAGGCAAGCCGUCACAACUGAUGCUACAAUUCGGCUGGUUCCAAGGUUCGACUUCCGCCAUGUUUUCCAGCUUCGCGCUUGCGCAGAUGUCAAUCGACCGCCUGAUCGUGGUGCAGUUCCCUAUGUCUGCCACAAGGCUAUGCACACAGGAACGCGCCAACAAAACCGUGGUGACAACCUUCGUCUUAUGUUGUAUCUUCAACCUGCAAAUGUUUUUCGUCUAUAGGUAUCGGAGAGAAGUCAUGGAAAACCCAUACGUCAUGAGUAGGCCAGGCCUAUGAAUCACACGACAUAGCUUAAAGCAUGGACUGACUCACGUGGCAGAAACAGAAACUAGUGAUCUGCCAACGGACUUUCUCAGCGCUUUCACAAACGGGGAAUCCCGGUUGACAAUACCAUUUAUGACAUACUCUAGCUAUUCCUGAUUCAUAAGUCGCAAUACCGGGAAGUUGGUAUAUUUUCUCCGGAGCCAAGUUGAAGGAUGGCGGUAUUUUUCAUAAAACAUGUGCUGAUCUUGCAUUUAGUGAUCAUUUCCGAUAUUUUCAUGCAGGUUUCUUCGACAGAGGUAAGGGUAAGACAGCAAAGUGGAAAAUGUGAAUCAGAAUAGAAGAAGAGUUGGCUCUCCAAUACAUUAUGUACUCGUUCUCCUACGUACGGAUUCUCCUAUUACCAAAAAGGGGCGUACACCGGGUAGUAUACUCUUUUCGUUCGCGACUUGACAAUAGGAAAAGGGGUAACGGGAUAUAACAGCACAUAUUGGGAAAUAAACCUUCGAUCAGCUCAAAUCUACACUUGUCCCAAGGGAGCAUAUCUAGACAUGACAAAAAACAGGACUGCGUGUCGUGCGUGCACGGUCUGUCCGGCCGGAUACGGCGUGGGGGUACCAUGCUCCCUGACCACCGACACUGUGUGCGAACCCUGCGCGGAAGGCACUUAUAACCCCAGGAAAACUCUCAACGAGAGGUGUCGCCGGUGUCGAAGAUGUUCUUACCCUUAUGUCAGUGUGCGGAAAUGUCAGCCAAACAGGGAUGCAAGUUGUAACUGGUGUGCAAAAGCCGAGGAAGAAAGGCAACGAAAAGCGAUUAACACUACUGAAACAUCGGAGGUUACAUCAACACUGGCGGCCAUCUUGGAUACCCAAACACUUCAAAGUCUCGAAAUCCACACGUCAGAGGAAGGACUCACGUUAGAGAUGAUUGUCGUGAUUAUUGUAAUGAUUAUGAUGCUGAUGGCAGUGAUAUUUUUGAUCGCAUUCUGUAUCUUAAGAGACAGUCACAGGGACGUUUUGCGGGUGUUACGGGUAAAAAAAAGACGAAAUUACGCCACACGCACCCCUGUUUCUACUUUUGACGGUGUUCAGAGUAAAGGGAUGUGCUUUGGGAAACAGCCUCGUUUUGUGGCUGAUGAACAAGCAGGGGGUAUACGUACAUGUGUGGUCGACCUUCCUGAAAAGGUUUCGCUGAAAUAAGACCACACCCAGCAUAUUCUAAAUGCUGGCACACACGUGCUAUCAGAGCGGACACAAUCGUCGCAGCAACUAAAACUUUCUUUAGUACCAAUCUCAUAACAAAGCAACGUUGUAUCACUUCGAUGAUCCAUCCCGGCAUCGUAUACAAUUGGUUAGAUUACAACAUCCACUCCCACCUUGGCUUCCUCGGCUAAAAUCGGAAAUCGUGAGGUCUGAAUCUCAGAGGUGGUGAUGGUAUGCGUGCGUGUGCGUGUGGGGGUGCGUGUGUGUGUGUGCGUGAGAAAGUGAGGGGGUUGAGGGGGGGGGGGUGGGGUCUGG